rnacentral:rRNA from 1 species
AGCGAACGCUGGCGGCAGGCUUAACACAUGCAAGUCGAGCGGGCCCUUCGGGGUCAGCGGCGGACGGGUGAGUAACGCGUGGGAACGUGCCUUCUGGUCUGGAAUAACCCUGGGAAACUAGGGCUAAUACCGGAUACGCCCUUUUGGGGAAAGGUUUACUGCCGGAAGAUCGGCCCGCGUCUGAUUAGCUAGUUGGUGGGGUAACGGCCUACCAAGGCGACGAUCAGUAGCUGGUCUGAGAGGAUGAUCAGCCACACUGGGACUGAGACACGGCCCAGACCCCUACGGGAGGCAGCAGUGGGGAAUAUUGGACAAUGGGCGCAAGCCUGAUCCAGCCAUGCCGCGUGAGUGAUGAAGGCCUUAGGGUUGUAAAGCUCUUUUAUCCGGGACGAUAAUGACGGUACCGGAGGAAUAAGCCCCGGCUAACUUCGUG